rnacentral:lncRNA from 1 species
UUUUUUUUUUCCUGCAGGUAUUUUCUGUUGUUUGAGGUGGACAGUAUUUAUACAACCAGAAAAACAAACAAAGUCCCACUUUUAAUGAAUUCCAAUAUGUGCCACAUUCUAACCUCUAUUGGUUCUCCUAUCUGCGGGGGAACGAGUUUCUGGUGGGCAAGGAGUUGGCAAGAAGGGGGUGACAAACAGACACAACAUAAGGAUCUGAAUAUAUUGUCCAAACGAACACCAGACUUUUUUAUACAGAAGAAAAACAAGAGAAGCCAGGCGAACACAUCUGCCAAGUUACGUUGACACAAAACAAAAAGGAAUGCAUACAUAAAAAGAUGGCAGGGAUCAGGCCUCAUUUACCAUUUAAAAUGGAGUCAGAUGAAUGCUCUGAUGCAAUGCUAGUCUAAUGUUAAACCCACCACCAGGGGUUCUUUAGUAAAUACCUGAUUUUGCUAUUCCUCUGGGCCUAGUGAAAAAACCUGUACCAGGGGAAUUCCCUUCCACUAAAUCUUUCAUGCUACAACCCACCAAUUUGCUAGGCCAUUGUGUAUUCCUGUGUUUGGGUGUGACUUGGCUAUUGUCCUAAGUAAUUACUAUGCAGACUAGCCCUGAACUUUCCUAGCUCUGUACUUUGUAAUGCCUGAUCUUUUCCACUGUCUCUACUAGAAGUGAAUUUGAAUGUUACUGAAUAGGUAACAUUCUUACUGAAUUCCGAGCUCACCGUUGGCUUCAAGAAUUUUCGAUGAAUGAUUGGAACACUGGUGGAGGCUUAGCUAUGUCAAAAUCAAUCCUUAAAGGCACUUAUAAUAAAACAAUACUGAAAGAGAGCACAUGGACUAACUUGGGGACAGGGUUUGUGUAUACGGACUAUGGGAAUGCCAAGGUUCCAGGAGGCAAAGUUUCCUUGAAACUCUUCACCUCGUGACUGCUUUCAGGCCCUUAGGCCCACCAAGCAGACUGCACUGGAGUGGACGUAGCAAAUAUGACAAGAAGUUCCUGUGAAUUUCAGGUUCACAUGAGGCAAAAGAUGAGCAGGCCGCUUGAGGAAAAAAAUCCUGUAAGUCUUUUGGUUUAUGUCAGAGACUGUAAUCAAAGAGAAACAAUAACCCCUUAUUUAAUUUUGCCACAUUAUUUUAUACAUUAAUCAAGAUAUUGUCCAUGAAAUGUUCAAUUAUGUCUUAUAAUAAAAUAUUUGUUUUGAAUGCGUCAUACACAUGUCUGGUAUAGAGAUAAGUCCACAGAAUUAUCAUCAUAUCUGUUUCUCAGAAAAACAAACUGAUGCAAAGUUUAACCUGUGUGCUUGAGGUCACAGUUAGUAAAAAAUGGUUAUGAAUUCCAACCCUGGUGUUUUAACCUAAAAACAUUGAGUAAACUUAUACAAGUGUGUGUCGAAUUUUCCUUUUUAAACACUCAAAGAGAAGAGAGUCAUUGCUUACUUGUAUUUGACACUGAAGAAUGAACCACCUUUCUCAAGAAAGGGCUGACAACUAUACUGGGAGCUGAGUAGC